UGCAACCUCCACCUCCCAGGUUCAAGCAAUUUUCCUGCCUCAGCCUCCCGAGUAGCUGGGACUACAGGCAUACACCACCACGCCCAGCCAAAUUUUUUUGUAUUUUAGUAGAGAUGGGGUUUCACCAUGUUGCCCAGGCUGGUCUUGAACUCCUGAGCUCAGGCAAUCUGCCCGCCUCGGCCUCACGAAGUGCUAGGAUUACAGUCGUGAGCCACUGUGCCCAGCCAGCUAGUUAAGUUUCUAAACUGAAAAUUAGAGAAGGUUAAUAGCCAAGUUUCCCAAUGAAACAUCACUAUUCUCUUUUCUUCCAGUUCUGUAAUGAUUGCCCCUUUAAAGAACAAAAUAAAGUGAUGUCAGCAAGAGAGUUGACUAAGCCCCUGGUGCUCAUCCUCCUCACAAAGACAGCCAGAACAACAAAUAAAUAACUACAUUUGGAUACACCAACUCCACAACCCUAUCCCAGCAACCAGGAUCAGCUGGGAAUCAGGAGGAAAUUUUCCCUACAGUGAAGAGCCUUUCCAAGAUUUCCAGUACCUCGUCUUUACCCGAAAGCCUAUUUACUGGCAGCCAAUUUGCAAACAUCAAAUUUAAGAUUAUAGCUUCAGUAAAACAAGAAGAAAGAAAUUAAAGUUCACUUCGAGUGUUUAUGUUGGCAUAUACCAAGCAGACUACUUAAGAAAAGAAUGACACUGAGGGCUCCAUUUUGCCAUUCCUCAUGUUCUGCAUGUACUAGUUUUCAUAUUACUUUAAUCAAGAGACAAACAUAAUGAAUCUAUCAUUUAAAGUAUGCAAAUUCAUUACUCCUUCUUUGUGAAAGCUUGACACCUUGGCUCAUGUCAUAUAUUUGCAAACUAAGUAUGUAUUCCACUAAAAAGUCAAGAAAAAGAAACCAGAAUAACAGCUUUUCAAGUUUAUGUUUCAUGAAACAAGAAAAUAAUUAAGUGGGUACUUGCAAUAUACUACUGCUAGGGUCAAUGUUAACAUCACUAAAAUCUUUAAGUUUUCUUCAAAAUGUUAGGGAGAAUCUUUACUGUCUCAUAAAGAAUUAUCCAAAACUUAACAUUAUAAUUGGCUCCAACAACUAAACCACAAACAAAAGCCUCUUAAAUGGUAAGCAAUGCUGAAUUAACUUUUAAUGACAACAAAAAUAAUCUUCUAUUACCUACAGAGAUAAUCCAAUAAAUAUACAGGAGUAAAUAUAGUCAUUUUCUCUAGAACAAUGGAAAAUAAAAAGCCCAAUAAGAACAAAAAGAAAUUAUUCAAUUUUAUACUCAUUAUCAUUACAAAUCAAUAAACCAAUUUCCCAUAAAACCAUUCUUUUAAAAAAAUUAUCAGUUUUUCCAAUUCCUUUUUUUCUUUUCUUUUCUUUUUCUUUUUUUUUUUUUUUUUUCAGACAGGAUCUUGCUUUGUCAUCCAGGCUGGAGUACAGUGGUGCAGUCAUGGCUCACUGCAGCCUUGACUUCCAGGACUCAAGUGAUCCUCUUACCACAGUCCCCUGAAUAUCAGGGACUACAGGUGUGAGCCACCAUGCCCAGCUAAUUUUUUUAUUUUUGUCUCACUAUGUUGCCCAGGCUGGUCUUGAACUCCUGGGCUCAAGCUGUCCUCCCACCUCAGUCUCCCAAAGUGCUGGGAUUACAGCCAUGUGAGCCACUAAGCCAAGCCAAUUCAUUUUUUGAUAAUAACAUUUCCUUCUUCUUAAAGCUUCUGAUAGCUUUAUUUUUUAAAUGCAAUAACAACAGCAGUAAACAUUAAAGAGGUAUUUAAAAAUUACUUCUUUCUAGUAAAGAGGCUAGGGAAAGAAAAUAAUGUUUUGGGAGUUUUUUUUAACACUUUAAAACAAAUCUGACCAAGAAAUCUGAUCAGAGAAAAUAAUUUUCAUCUUUUCUGAACACAAAUAUAUUUCCUAUUCAAAUAAUCCCAUAUAUCCACACAUUUAAUAUAAAGAGACAAUAAUGAGGAUCUACCAUUUUUGAUCACUUACUAUGUGCCAGAAAUUCUGCUAAAUGCAUUAUAUUAAUCCUCACAGUAGUUGUAACUAUUUUACAUAUGGGGGUCUGAGGCACAAAAAGAUUAAAACAAUUUACUCAAGUCAUAUAGCUAGUAAAUGGAUGGGGCUGAGAAUCAAACCCAGGCAGUCCAGUACCAUGUCUGAUUUCUUUUUAUAUAUAUACUUUUUAUUUAUUUUAUUAAAAUUCGGUGCUCUACGUGUUCAGAGAAACUUCUGUAGUAGCGAAUUAUAGAAAUGAUUCCUCAAAGUACAGUCUUCCAUGUCUGCUUUUUU
rnacentral:lncRNA from 10 species